rnacentral:ncRNA from 1 species
GCCGCACUCCAAGCGCUCCGGUGGACCCACAGAUCGCCAAAAGGUUUGAGGGCAUCGUCCUGGCGGAUGAGACGUUCUACCGACCGUCGUCAGUGUCUCUGGUCCUGGGCGCGGAUGUGAUCACGGAGGUCAUGCUAGAAGGGAGUCUACCUGGGGUUGGCGGGCGGCCGAUUGCGAUGCGCACAGUUUUUGGCUGGACCCUGUCCGGAGCGUGCCAUUAAACUGCCUGGGUCUUGCACUCCUGCAAGGGGGGGAGCAUGUUUAUGCCCAACCGGGCAACACAAGGGUUAAAGGAGGCGGAAGCUUUCACCUCGCGCCGCUCUCCCGAUGGUGCCCAUCGCUCUCCCCACGAAAGAACUCCCCACACUCCACUCCAAGCGGGGCUUGGUGCCCUGCUCUUAAGCUAAGCUAGAGUUAGUUGAAGUUUAUACCUGAAUACAUCAAGUGAAGUGAAAUUAAUCUCUGCGUGUCAGAAUUUACUGGGAGGAAAAACAGGGAAAAGGAAAAGUUCACCUAGCUGCCAUCAACCAGAAGGAAGUUCGACCCCCCUACAUAAACAAAUAAUAUUAUAAUAAUAGUGUGCAUUUUUUCCAUAUAAGGACAUUGUAAUCUAUUAACAUAAACCAAAUUUAUCAUAAAAUAUGACUUAUAGUUUAUUUAAAUUAUUUUGCUUGCAUUUUAACAUAGAAUAAAUGUCAUUAAUUUGAUAAAGUGUCGAUAGAUUUAUAUGAAUACAGUGCGUUAAUUUUUCGGAAUUAUAUAAUAGCAUGAUUAUCAUUGAUUUUCUGUGAUGAUUAUAUGCACUUGUAUGAUUAACAAUGCGAAAGAUUCAGGAUGCCUUCGGGACCCGUCUUGAAACACGGACCAAGGAGUCUAACAUAUGUGCAAGUUAUUGGGAUAUAAACCUAAUAGCAUAAUUAACUUGACUAAUAAUGGGAUUAGUUUUUUAACUAUGUAUAGAUAAAUAACACAAUCCCGGGGCGUUCUAUAUAGUUAUGUAUAAUGAUAUUUAUAUUAUUUAUACCUCUAACUGGAACGUACCUUGAGCAUAUAUGCUGUGACCCGAAAGAUGGUGAACUAUACUUGAUCAGGUUGAAGUCAGGGGAAACCCUGAUGGAAGACCGAAACAGUUCUGACGUGCAAAUCGAUUGUCAGAAUUGAGUAUAGGGGCGAAAGACCAAUCAAACCAUCUAGUAGCUGGUUCCUUCCGAAGUUUCCCUCAGGAUAGCCGGUGCAUUUAAACGUUAUAUAAAAUAAUCUUAUCUGAUAAAGCGAAUGAUUAGAGGCCUUAGGGUCGAAACGAUCUUAACCUAUUCUCAAACUUUAAAUGGGUAAGAACCUUAACUUUCUUGAUAUGAAGUGGGCCACUUUUGGUAAGCAGAACUGGCGCUGUGGGAUGAACCAAACGUAAUGAUACGGUGCCCAAAUUAACAACUCAUACAGAAACCAUGAAAGGCGUUGGUUGCUAAAACAGCA